CAAUGCCCCUGAGUGACCGGAAGGGGUGGAGCCUGGAUCCAACCCUUCCCAGACCUCAUUCAAGGGUUGGCAGCCAGGUAAUUGUAUCUUGCUGGAGGUCCCUGUCUACCUGAGGCCUUUCUAAGUGCAGGAAUCUCUGUCAUUGAGAUUCACUUGGCAGAUGAACGAUCACCAUUUGGGAAACUGUAUUAAAUCCUGUAUUUCAAGAGUCAGUAGGACUGGAAUCUGCUUUUCAGGAAUGGAUGUGAUGCACUUCAUAAAAUCAUGCCAGUGACUUCAGGCAGUUUAAAAUAGUCUCAGGGGUUACGAGAGGCUUCUCAGGCACAGAAUGCAGUUUCAGCACAUCAAUCAUCCCUUUCUGCUGUUUCUGCAAGAGAUGGAAUAUCUUGAUUUGAAAACAUCUUUCUAACACAAAGCAGUUUCAGUGCUCUUGUAUUUUGAGAAGACUUUACAAGGUAAAUAAGGAAGGUAAAUAAGGGAGAUUCUUUUUUGACAGUUGUGUGUGAAUAUAAAGACAUGCUAGAAAAUUGACGUACCUAUAAAUAAUCUCUUCAAAUCUUCAGCUAAACUAAACCAAUAUCAAACUGUAUUCAAAUAUCUUGUCUGCUGGAUGGUUGUUACUCUGUAGUUAAUUGUACAUUGUAGUCUUAUUGAGUGUAUGCAUGUUUUUCUUUGAAUACAAGCAGGUGACUCUUAAUGCGUUAUUUUGUAAAUGUAUGGACAGAACAAAUUCCUCCCAUCAGGAAAUCUGUGAAAUCAAGUGUA